rnacentral:rRNA from 1 species
GAUGAACGCUGGCGGCGCGCCUAACACAUGCAAGUCGAACGGACGAUGAAAAGCUUGCUUUUCAAAGUUAGUGGCGGACGGGUGAGUAACGCGUUGGUAACCUGCCUCAUACAGGGGAAUAGCAGCUGGAAACGGCUGAUAAAACCGCAUAAGCGCACAGUGCCGCAUGGUACAGUGUGAAAAACUCCGGUGGUAUGAGAUGGACCCGCGUCUGAUUAGCUAGUUGGCGGGGUAACGGCCCACCAAGGCGACGAUCAGUAGCCGGCCUGAGAGGGUGAUCGGCCACAUUGGGACUGAGACACGGCCCAAACUCCUACGGGAGGCAGCAGUGGGGAAUAUUGCACAAUGGGGGAAACCCUGAUGCAGCGACGCCGCGUGAAGGAAGAAGUAUCUCGGUGUGUAAACUUCUAUCAGCAGGGAAGAUAAUGACGGUACCUGACUAAGAAGCCCCGGCUAACUACGUGCCAGCAGCCGCGGUAAUACGUAGGGGGCAAGCGUUAUCCGGAUUUACUGGGUGUAAAGGGAGCGUAGGCGGCGGAGCAAGUCAGAAGUGAAAGCCCGGGGCUCAACCCCGGGACGGCUUUUGAAACUGCCCUGCUUGAUUUCAGGAGAGGUAAGCGGAAUUCCUAGUGUAGCGGUGAAAUGCGUAGAUAUUAGGAGGAACACCAGUGGCGAAGGCGGCUUACUGGAC